rnacentral:lncRNA from 1 species
UAAAAUUUGGUGAGCUCACGACACUUGUAGCUCACCUUCUCACUUCCCGAACUCCAGGCUGAAACCCUGAAGAACUCACUGAAACCCUGCGCACAUUUUUUCUUUCUUUUCUUUCUUUUUCUUUCGGAAGGAUAUAGACCUUCACCUUGCACACAAGGAUUCCUCAUGCCUAGAUUUUCUCUCCAAAAUUUUUCUUGCACAUGGCCCACUCUUCGCCUCCUUUUAAAACAAUGUCAAACGUCUUAUCCACGUGAGAGGAUAAAGAUGAGUAAUUGCACAUUUGAAUUCAAAUCAAAUUUUGAAUUCAAAUGGAAAUCAAUUUAUUCCUAUCCACUAAGGG